rnacentral:rRNA from 1 species
UACGUAGGGGGCUAGCGUUGUCCGGAAUCAUUGGGCGUAAAGAGCGCGUAGGCGGCCAGAUAAGUCCGGUGUGAAAGUCAAAGGCUCAACCUUUGAAUGCCGCUGGAAACUGUCUGGCUAGAGUCCGGGAGGGGCGAGUGGAAUUCCUGGUGUAGCGGUGAAAUGCGCAGAUAUCAGGAAGAACACCCGUGGCGAAGGCGGCUCUCUGGGACGUGACUGACGCUGAGACGCGAAAGCGUGGGGAGCAAACAGG